AAACAGGAGGUAAGUUUGGCUAUGACAUUUCACCCUAGUGCUCACCAGGGUUGACCUGGUUGAGCUGAAUGGACACGGGGAUGUCCCUGUCCUCUCUCUUUACUCCUCGAGUGUCCCUUCCAUUCUUUCUGUCAAAUAGGGUGGUCCCAGAUGAACAAAGACAUUCUAGCCAAGGAGUUUCAGAAACUUUCCAUCACUGACGAGCCCUCCAAACAAGCUCUCCAGACCCAACACUUAGUAGGUUCUCAGUCAAUAUCUGCUAAAUAUUUUAAUGAACCAAUGAUCACCACAAUUGUUUCUCUGA
ensembl:misc_RNA 7SK 7SK RNA